GUAAGGAAUAUUGGUCAAUGGUGGGAACACUGAACCAGCCAUCCCGCGUGCAGGAUGAAGGCCCUCUGGGUUGUAAACUGCUUUUACCAGGGAAGAAACGUGCAGGAUGCCCUGCAUCUGACGGUACCUGGGGAAUAAGCACCGGCUAACUCCGUGCCAGCAGCCGCGGUAAUACGGAGGGUGCAAGCGUUAUCCGGAAUCACUGGGUUUAAAGGGUGCGUAGGCGGCUUGGUAAGUCAGAGGUGAAAGCUUCCCGCUCAACGGGAGAACUGCCCCUGAUACUGCCAGGCUUGAAUCGGGUUGAGGCAGGCGGAAUGUGGCAUGUAGCGGUGAAAUGCAUAGAUAUGCCAUAGAACACCGAUUGCGAAGGCAGCCUGCCAAGCCUUGAUUGACGCUGAGGCACGAAAGCGUGGGGAGCAAACAGGAUUAGAUACCCCUGUAGUCC
rnacentral:rRNA from 1 species